GUAGACAACUAAGUGGGCUUGAUUGUGGGGAAAACCCCACAAUUAAGCAUGCAUGAGCCAAAGGAGUAUUGGGAUGGGUGACCUCCUGGAAAGUCUUGGUUACUGAGUGCA
rnacentral:rRNA from 1 species